GUGGAUUAGAUACCCUGGUAGUCCACGCCCUAAACUAUGUCAACUGGUUGUCGGGGAAGCAAUUCCUUGGUAACGAAGCUAACGCGUGAAGUUGACCGCCUGGGGAGUACGGCCGCAAGGUUAAAACUCAAAGGAAUUGACGGGGACCCGCACAAGCGGUGGAUUAUGUGGAUUAAUUCGAUGCAACGCGAAAAACCUUACCUACCCUUGACAUGCUAGGAAGCUCGCAGAGAUGUGAGUGUGCCCGAAAGGGAACCUAGACACAGGUGCUGCACGGCCGUCGCCAACU
rnacentral:rRNA from 1 species